AUUGAACGCUGGCGGCAGGCCUAACACAUGCAAGUCGAACGGUAGCACGGAGAGCUUGCUCUCGGGUGACGAGUGGCGGACGGGUGAGUAACGUCUGGGAAACUGCCCGAUGGAGGGGGAUAACUACUGGAAACGGUAGCUAAUACCGCAUAACGUCGCAAGACCAAAGUGGGGGACCUUCGGGCCUCACACCAUCGGAUGUGCCCAGAUGGGAUUAGCUAGUAGGUGGGGUAAUGGCUCACCUAGGCGACGAUCCCUAGCUGGUCUGAGAGGAUGACCAGCCACACUGGAACUGAGACACGGUCCAGACUCCUACGGGAGGCAGCAGUGGGGAAUAUUGCACAAUGGGCGCAAGCCUGAUGCAGCCAUGCCGCGCGUAUGAAGAAGGCCUUCGGGUUGUAAAGUACUUUCAGCGGGGAGGAAGGCGGUGAAGUUAAUAGCUUCACCGAUUGACGUUACCCGCAGAAGAAGCACCGGCUAACUCCGUGCCAGCCGCCGCUGUAA
rnacentral:rRNA from 1 species